rnacentral:rRNA from 1 species
AGAUUGAACGCUGGCGGAAUGCUUUACACAUGCAAGUCGAACGGCAGCACGGGACUCAGGCAACUGAGCCCUGGUGGCGAGUGGCGAACGGGUGAGUAACAUAUCGGAACGUACCCAGUCGUGGGGGAUAACUCUCCGAAAGGAGAGCUAAUACCGCAUACGUCCUGAGGGAGAAAGCGGGGGACCUAAGGGUAACUGAGGGCCUCGCGCGAUUGGAGCGGCCGAUAUCGGAUUAGCUAGUUGGUGAGGUAAAGGCUCACCAAGGCGACGAUCCGUAGCGGGUCUGAGAGGACGACCCGCCACACUGGAACUGAGACACGGUCCAGACUCCUACGGGAGGCAGCAGUGGGGAAUUUGGACAAUGGGGGCAACCUGAUCAGCCAUUCCGCGUGAGUGAAGAAGGCC